rnacentral:tRNA from 3 species
AUCUAUAUAGUAUAUAAGUAUAUUUGACUUCCAAUCAUAAGGUCUACUAUUUAGUAGUAUAGAUA